rnacentral:misc_RNA from 1 species
GAAAUGCGAUAAUUAAUGUGAAUUGCAGAAUUCAGUGAAUCAUCGAGUCUUUGAACGCACAUUGCGCCCCCUGGUAUUCCGGGGGGCAUGCCUGUCCGAGCGUCAUUGCUGCCCUCAAGCACGGCUUGUGUGUUGGGCUUCCGUCCCUGGCAACGGGGACGGGCCCAAAAGGCAGUGGCGGCACCAUGUCUGGUCCUCGAGCGUAUGGGGCUUUGUCACCCGCUCCCGUAGGUCCAGCUGGCAGCUAACCUCGCAACCAAUCUUUUUAACCAGGUUGACCUCGGAUCAGGUAGGGAUACCCGCUGAACUUAAGC